GGUUCGGCUUGCUCGACUCAAUUCCUUUAAAACUUUUUUUUUUAAAUUAAUCAAACUUGAAUUUAUUGAUAUUAGGUUCGAAUUCCAUAUGAAUUGAACUUAAAUUCGGUUUGAACUCAAAAAUAUUUUGGAGAAUCAAGUUCUGAAAUUCUUCAAAACUCGGUUUGAUUCGUUUACCGCAUCCAGCAAGCUUGUUUAGGGCACAACGAUCUUAAUUUGAACAAACAUAUCUGAAACUGGA
rnacentral:misc_RNA from 1 species